rnacentral:rRNA from 1 species
GACGAACGCUGGCGGCGUGCUUAACACAUGCAAGUCGAACGGAAAGGCCCUGCUUUUGUGGGGUGCUCGAGUGGCGAACGGGUGAGUAACACGUGAGUAACCUGCCCUUGACUUUGGGAUAACUUCAGGAAACUGGGGCUAAUACCGGAUAGGAGCUCCUGCUGCAUGGUGGGGGUUGGAAAGUUUCGGCGGUUGGGGAUGGACUCGCGGCUUAUCAGCUUGCUGGUUGGGUAGUGGCUGACCAAGCCUUUGACGGGUAGCCGGCCUGAGAGGGUGGACGGCCACAUUGGGACUGCGAGACGGCGCAGACUCGUACGUUAGGCAGCAGUGGCGAAUAUGGCACAAUGGGCGGGAGUCUGAUACAGAAGCGCCGCGGUCGUAAUGACGGCCUUCGGGUUGUAAACCGCUUUAGCCUGUGACGAAGCUUGAGUGACGGUAAUGGGUAAAUAAGCACCGGCUAACUACGUG